UACGAAGGGGGCUAGCGUUGCUCGGAAUCACUGGGCGUAAAGGGUGCGUAGGCGGGUCUUUAAGUCAGGGGUGAAAUCCUGGGGCUCAACUCCAGAACUGCCUUUGAUACUGAGGAUCUUGAGUUCGGGAGAGGUGAGUGGAACUGCGAGUGUAGAGGUGAAAUUCGUGAGAUAUUCGCAAGAACACCAGUGGCGAAGGCGGCUCACUGGCCCGAUACUGACGCUGAGGCACGAAAGCGUGGGGAGCAAACAGG
rnacentral:rRNA from 1 species